CACGGGGGGAGCAAGCGUUGUUCGGAAUCACUGGGCGUAAAGGGUGCGUAGGCGGGUCUUAAGUCAGGGGUGAAAUCCUGGAGCUCAACUCCAGAACUGCCUUUGAUACUGGCGACCUUGAGUCCGGGAGAGGGUGAGUGGAACUGCGAAGUGUAGAGGUGAAAAUUCGUAGAUAUUCGCAAGAACACCAGUGGCGAAGGCGGCUCACUGGCCCGGUACUGACGCUGAGGUGCGAAAGCGUGGGGAGCAAACAGG
rnacentral:rRNA from 1 species